UUUAAGUGUAGUUGUGGAUUUUUGUUUUUAAUAUUUGACCAUCCGUUUUAUUUGAAAUUAUUUUAUGAUUAGUUUUUUUAUAAGAUGAUAGACUAUAAAUAGUAUUUUAUGUUUGACUUUCUUUUUUAAUUUCUUCAUAAACUUUUCAAAUAAUACAGACGGUCAAACAUUAGACACGGGAACUCACGACUACACUUAAA
rfam:Oryza rufipogon genomic scaffold, chr08